rnacentral:rRNA from 1 species
CUACGGGGGGCAGCAGUGGGGAAUAUUGGACAAUGGGGGAAACCCUGAUCCAGCAAUGCCGCGUGUGUGAAGAAGGCCUGCGGGUUGUAAAGCACUUUCGGUUGGGAGGACUGCUUCUAGCACUAAUAUUGUUGGAAGUUGACGUUACCUUCAGAAGAAGCACCGGCUAACUCCGUGCCAGCAGCCGCGGUAAUACGGAGGGUGCAAGCGUUAAUCGGAAUUACUGGGCGUAAAGCGCGCGUAGGCGGCUAGAUCAGUCGGGUGUGAAAGCCCCGGGCUUAACCUGGGAACUGCAUCCGAUACUGUCUAGCUUGAGGACAGGAGAGGAGAGUGGAAUUCCACAUGUAGCGGGGAAAUGCGUAGAUAUGUGGAGGAACACCAAUGGCGAAGGCAGCUCUCUGGCCUGAUACUGACGCUGAGGUGCGAAAGCGUGGGGGGCAAACAGGAUUAGAUACCCUAGUAGUC